CAGUAGCCACGGUAAUACGUAGGUGGCAAGCGUUGUCCGGAAUUAUUGGGCGUAAAGGGCUCGCAGGCGGUUUCUUAAGUCUGAUGUGAAAGCCCCCGGCUCAACCGGGGAGGGUCAUUGGAAACUGGGAAACUUGAGUGCAGAAGAGGAGAGUGGAAUUCCACGUGUAGCGGUGAAAUGCGUAGAGAUGUGGAGGAACACCGGUGGCGAAGGCGACUCUCUGGCCUGUAACUGACGCUGAGGAGCGAAAGCGUGGGGAGCGAACAGGAUUAGAUACCCCAGUAGUCCCUGUCUCUUAUAC
rnacentral:rRNA from 1 species